ensembl:lncRNA
AUUCCUGCAGUGGAUUCCUCUUUGGCUUAAAAAGUAACAAAUCCUGCUGAAAAAAAAAUAUCACAAGAAGUGGUGAAACAUUUGGAAGCAGGAGAGCCUGUGAAGAGGCAGCACUGCCCUCUGUAUGACAUUCAUAUACCACAGUGGAAAUAUGUUUCAAUUUUCCUUGAGUGCAGCCAUUUUUGCUAGCUGGUGAUCCCAGGCAGCUGUGUAAGCAAGAGGGCAGAAAGCCCUGUUCCAGAAGGCAUCCCACAUGGACACAACUCCUGCUGCAGAUUGCCCCAUGAAGGAGCUUCUCUCUUCAUUAACUCCAAGGAAAGCUGAGAAAGACAGGCUGGCUUUUCAGGGAGUAUUACCCAUCUUGCAGUUAUCUGCACAAAACAUUCCAAAAGUUCCAGGACCUGCCUAUUCAACACUUAUUUGCAAACACUGUGAAGUUCAUAAAAGCACAAUUCUCCUUUAGUUCUUGUGAAAAGUUUAACAAGGCAAAAUUAAUUUGGUAAGUACUGCGAAGUAUUUUAUUUUCAAACACACAUUUGUGUUUGAAAUUCGCUUUUGGGGGUUAAAGAGGAGGUGAAAGUUGAGAGGUGAUAGCUGAAGAAUGUACUGACUAUAGUGGUGCUAAUUAGGAACUUUCGUGCUGGUCUUUCCUUUGGGAAAUUCGUAAAUCACCUGAAACAAAGACUACAUCAAAGACUAACAAUUUUAAAAAGCAAUCAAAUUAAAAGAAUUCUACAUGGACUUCCAUCUAGACAGCACAAAUGUACCUCUCACGAUGUAGGUUGUACAUAUAUAAACAGAUGCCCUUAGCAGACCCACACUUAUACUGAAGUGUUAUGAACUUUAUGGCAAAGUAAAGCUGGUGUGCAAGAUUUUAAGGAAACAGACUCCAGUGUUAAAUAGAAAACCACACUAAAUAUCCCAGACACCCCCCCCACCCCCCAGUCUUAGUAGAUUAGAAGGCUUUCCUCCUUUCAGAUAAUGAUAAAGGAUUCUGAAUAUUUCUAGUCCCACUCAUACUACACUUCCAGGUAGCAGAGACUGUAUCGUGCCCAAAUAGUGACUAAUGGAGUAUUUCUGCUCCAAAUUCAGACUAGGUUAGGGUUGGUACAUUGUGAACUUUCUGAAUUUAGCUUUUUGUGGCGUCAGAACCUGUGACUGGCUUCACCAGCCUUACUUUGAGUACUUCCCCACUGACUGUGCAGAUUCAUGUGUAGAAGAACUUCAUUUGAAUCGGUUAAGGCUGAGUAAGUAUGACAUCCAUGCAGAGAAAACUCCUGAAAGCAAGAAAAUGUCAGGUUAUGGAACUCCUCCUAAAGGCACCUCAGUGCCUACACAACACAUUUCCACUGACAUGAGUAGACUUCACACCUCCCCACAGAACUUCCUUCUGCCUCCCAAAUAUAAGGGAUCCCAUCCAGCUCAUUAAUUUCACACUAUAGAACCCCCACACCGUAAGCCUGGCUCAACACUGAGUAUUUCAUAAAGUUAGUAAGGUCAAAAUUAUGUGAAUGUGUGAGAUUUUGAAAUAAAGAGGAGAUGGGGGUGUUCA